GCCGACGUAGCUCAGUUGGUAGAGCAGCGGUUUCGUAAAUCGCGGGUCAGCGGUUCAAAUCCGCUCGUCGGCUCCA
rnacentral:tRNA from 1 species